ACCACUUCAUAAACACCAUAACACACUAAACUCUCCCUAAAAUUACAUCAUACCAUACACAUGUUUUUCAUGAAAAUCAUAUCUUAAACCACAAUAUUCUUCUUCUUCAUAUAUACCCUACCAUAAAAGUCACAUUUUCUCAACAACACGACUUCAUAAACACCUCUAACCAAUAUUUUCAUAUUCUCCAUCCAACACAAGACAACAACAUAACAACCAACACCACCACCCAAACGACAAUAACCUUCCACAACCUCCAACCAACUCCGACGAAACCUCUCUUUUAAAACACACAAAACCUUCACCGCUGUCGAAAUCGCCAUUGUCAUCAAGGUUGCUCCUUUUUUUUUCUCGUUCUGUUUUCUUACUUUGGAUGUUGUUGGAUUUUUAUUUUUAUGCUUAAGUUAUUUUUGAGAUUGAGUUUUAUUUUAUUUUAUUUUCAAUCGGUGAAAAUGGUCGGUAUAUUUAGAGAGAAGAAGCCAUGAAUGAUUUCAAGAAAACUUUGAAGCUUAAGUUUUACUGUUGGUUUUAUUCUCCCUGAUUUAUUUUUGUGUGUUCAUAUUUUUUAAAGGGUGGCCAUGUGGCACCACCCUAUUGGUCAUUAUGGGAUGUCUUAUUUUUUAGUUUUUUUAUUUAUU
rnacentral:lncRNA from 1 species